rnacentral:rRNA from 1 species
AUGUAAACCUGUUAAGAAGUGUGGUGUAAUACAGAAGGUGAAAUCUGUUAAUGGAAUGUGUUGGCGUGCAGCAUGCUUAGGCGUGUUAUUAAGUUAGAGUUGAAAUGCCUAGACGCAACCUUGUAACUGUAUUUGAAAUGUAUAAAAUAUAGGAUCUUAGAGGGAGGUAUAAAUUCAGGUGUAGCGGUGAAAUGCGUAGAUAUCUGGAGGAAUACCAGUGGCGAAGGCGACCUCCUGGACUAUAACUGACGCUCAAGCACGAAAGCAUGGGGAACAAACAGGAUUAGUUACCCAAGUAGUC